CACCCCAGCUACGUAGAACGCUGGUGAUCCUGCAGGCCCUUCCUAGCACACACCAUGUGCAAACUGUCUUCCUGAGAACCCAACCAGCAUCUGGAGCAGCAGACAUGGGAGUGCACUGCUCAGACACCAGCCCUAGAGCCCCAGUGGCUGCCUGAAGAAGAUCCAGUCCCCAGAGAAGGAAAUAACCUCCUAUAUACUUAGCAACACCCAACGCUAUGAGCCUUGUGGCAACCACACGAAAAAUCCAAUCCUGCAAAUGCUGAUUGAGAAACUGCGCAGAAAAAGCUAGGCGUGCUGCCUAAUGGAAGUAAGUACACAGGAAAACCCAAAGUAGGGAAGGGGGCACCUCCCCACCUCAACCGGGGACAAAUGACAUCUUUUCAGGAAAAUGUUUAUAGCUUAGUGAAUAACAAAGUCUUUAGUAAGGUGCUUAUAGAAUGAGUUCCAUUUCAAUGAGCAGAGACAAGAGGCUACAUUUUAAGGAAAACACCCAGAUUAAGCACAGCAAAGGAGAAAGCAAGCCCAGGAAAGCUGGUCUGAAUGGCGGGGUGAUGGCCGGGCUUGGCAACAGGACCGAACAGCUGGUCUGGAAUCACAUGGGAGAGGCCUGGCUCUUGCCUGCUAAGGAUUUUGAACCAAGGAGGGCACAGGAGAGGUACUGAAGGGUUGUGAUCAAUAACCUGAUGUGAUGACUUAAGACUGUCAGAAUGGAGAAUUAAUUGGAGUGAGCCUAGCCUGGGAGAGAGAAACAAAAUGAACCAUAAGGACAAGUCAUAAGCAGGUGUGAUUAGGAUGGGGCCUGACAAGCGGUGUGAGGUCAUGAAGGAGCUGUGGGUCAAGUAGGUUGUGAGGCAGCUGUGGAAAGAGGGAGACAGGUUUGAGAGAGGCUGAGAAAGCAGAAUCUACAAGGUUCAUCCAUGCACUGGAUUUGGGGAUCCCCCAAAAAAUGAGGGAAGCUAUUUUGAAUGGGGAGGGGCCAGCCUAUCCAAGCACCACAUCUGCCUUCCAGGACUCAGCGUUGACAGUGGCGGGUCCAGCUUUCCCCAGCAGCCGUACAAAGACUGUUCUAGCAUCAUUUUCUCCUUCAGAGCCUGAGCCUCAGCUCUCUGUCACCGACGUCACUUAAGGGCUUUUUUUUAAAUCAAGGUUCCCGGAACCCACUCAUUAUCUAAAAAUGGACCCAUUGUACAAAGACAGACAAAAGUGUUUGCCAAAAGCAUGAGCUGGGGGUAUUGUCCUGGAGGCAGCUGG
rnacentral:lncRNA from 10 species